rnacentral:rRNA from 1 species
AGCGAACGCUGGCGGCAGGCCUAACACAUGCAAGUCGAACGAACCUUUCGGGGUUAGUGGCGGACGGGUGAGUAACACGUGGGAACGUGCCUUUAGGUUCGGAAUAACUCAGGGAAACUUGUGCUAAUACCGAAUGUGCCCUUCGGGGGAAAGAUUAAUCGCCUUUAGAGCGGCCCGCGUCUGAUUAGCUAGUUGGUUGAGGUAAUGGCUCACCAAGGCGACGAUCAGUAGCUGGUCUGAGAGGAUGAUCAGCCACAUUGGGACUGAGACACGGCCUAAACUCCUACGGGAGGCAGCAGUGGGGAAUCUUGCGCAAUGGGCGAAAGCCUGACGCAGCCAUGCCGCGUGAAUGAUGAAGGUCUUAGGAUUGUAAAAUUCUUUCACCGGGGACGAUAAUGACGGUACCCGGAGAAGAAGCCCCGGCUAACUUCGUG